GAUGAACGCUGGCGGCGUGCCUAAUACAUGCAAGUCGAGCGAACGGACGAGAAGCUUGCUUCUCUGAUGUUAGCGGCGGACGGGUGAGUAACACGUGGAUAACCUACCUAUAAGACUGGGAUAACUUCGGGAAACCGGAGCUAAUACCGGAUGAUAUUUUGAACCGCAUGGUUCAAAAGUGAAAGACGGUCUUGCUGUCACUUAUAGAUGGAUCCGCGCUGCAUUAGCUAGUUGGUAAGGUAACGGCUUACCAAGGCAACGAUGCAUAGCCGACCUGAGAGGGUGAUCGGCCACACUGGAACUGAGACACGGUCCAGACUCCUACGGGAGGCAGCAGUAGGGAAUCUUCCGCAAUGGGCGAAAGCCUGACGGAGCAACGCCGCGUGGGUGAUGAAGGUCUUCGGAUCGUAAAACUCUGUUAUUAGGGAAGAACAUAUGUGUAAGUAACUGUGCACAUCUUGACAGUACCUAAUCAGAAAGCCACGGCUAACUACGUG
rnacentral:rRNA from 1 species